rnacentral:rRNA from 2 species
UUAAGCGACUAAGCGUACACGGUGGAUGCCCUGGCAGUCAGAGGCGAUGAAGGACGUGCUAAUCUGCGAUAAGCGUCGGUAAGGUGAUAUGAACCGUUAUAACCGGCGAUUUCCGAAUGGGGAAACCCAGUGUGAUUCGUCACACUAUCAUUAACUGAAUCCAUAGGUUAAUGAGGCGAACCGGGGGAACUGAAACAUCUAAGUACCCCGAGGAAAAGAAAUCAACCGAGAUUCCCCCAGUAGCGGCGAGCGAACGGGGAGCAGCCCAGAGCCUGAAUCAGUGUGUGUGUUAGUGGAAGCGUCUGGAAAGGCGCGCGAUACAGGGUGACAGCCCCGUACACAAAAAUGCACAUGCUGUGAGCUCGAUGAGUAGGGCGGGACACGUGGUAUCCUGUCUGAAUAUGGGGGGACCAUCCUCCAAGGCUAAAUACUCCUGACUGACCGAUAGUGAACCAGUACCGUGAGGGAAAGGCGAAAAGAACCCCGGCGAGGGGAGUGAAAAAGAACCUGAAACCGUGUACGUACAAGCAGUGGGAGCACGCUUAGGCGUGUGACUGCGUACCUUUUGUAUAAUGGGUCAGCGACUUAUAUUCUGUAGCAAGGUUAACCGAAUAGGGGAGCCGAAGGGAAACCGAGUCUUAACUGGGCGUUAAGUUGCAGGGUAUAGACCCGAAACCCGGUGAUCUAGCCAUGGGCAGGUUGAAGGUUGGGUAACACUAACUGGAGGACCGAACCGACUAAUGUUGAAAAAUUAGCGGAUGACUUGUGGCUGGGGGUGAAAGGCCAAUCAAACCGGGAGAUAGCUGGUUCUCCCCGAAAGCUAUUUAGGUAGCGCCUCGUGAAUUCAUCUCCGGGGGUAGAGCACUGUUUCGGCAAGGGGGUCAUCCCGACUUACCAACCCGAUGCAAACUGCGAAUACCGGAGAAUGUUAUCACGGGAGACACACGGCGGGUGCUAACGUCCGUCGUGAAGAGGGAAACAACCCAGACCGCCAGCUAAGGUCCCAAAGUCAUGGUUAAGUGGGAAACGAUGUGGGAAGGCCCAGACAGCCAGGAUGUUGGCUUAGAAGCAGCCAUCAUUUAAAGAAAGCGUAAUAGCUCACUGGUCGAGUCGGCCUGCGCGGAAGAUGUAACGGGGCUAAACCAUGCACCGAAGCUGCGGCAGCGACGCUGAUGCGUUGUUGGGUAGGGGAGCGUUCUGUAAGCCUGCGAAGGUGUGCUGUGAGGCAUGCUGGAGGUAUCAGAAGUGCGAAUGCUGACAUAAGUAACGAUAAAGCGGGUGAAAAGCCCGCUCGCCGGAAGACCAAGGGUUCCUGUCCAACGUUAAUCGGGGCAGGGUGAGUCGACCCCUAAGGCGAGGCCGAAAGGCGUAGUCGAUGGGAAACAGGUUAAUAUUCCUGUACUUGGUGUUACUGCGAAGGGGGGACGGAGAAGGCUAUGUUGGCCGGGCGACGGUUGUCCCGGUUUAAGCGUGUAGGCUGGUUUUCCAGGCAAAUCCGGAAAAUCAAGGCUGAGGCGUGAUGACGAGGCACUACGGUGCUGAAGCAACAAAUGCCCUGCUUCCAGGAAAAGCCUCUAAGCAUCAGGUAACAUCAAAUCGUACCCCAAACCGACACAGGUGGUCAGGUAGAGAAUACCAAGGCGCUUGAGAGAACUCGGGUGAAGGAACUAGGCAAAAUGGUGCCGUAACUUCGGGAGAAGGCACGCUGAUAUGUAGGUGAAGUCCCUCGCGGAUGGAGCUGAAAUCAGUCGAAGAUACCAGCUGGCUGCAACUGUUUAUUAAAAACACAGCACUGUGCAAACACGAAAGUGGACGUAUACGGUGUGACGCCUGCCCGGUGCCGGAAGGUUAAUUGAUGGGGUCAGCGCAAGCGAAGCUCUUGAUCGAAGCCCCGGUAAACGGCGGCCGUAACUAUAACGGUCCUAAGGUAGCGAAAUUCCUUGUCGGGUAAGUUCCGACCUGCACGAAUGGCGUAAUGAUGGCCAGGCUGUCUCCACCCGAGACUCAGUGAAAUUGAACUCGCUGUGAAGAUGCAGUGUACCCGCGGCAAGACGGAAAGACCCCGUGAACCUUUACUAUAGCUUGACACUGAACAUUGAGCCUUGAUGUGUAGGAUAGGUGGGAGGCUUUGAAGUGUGGACGCCAGUCUGCAUGGAGCCGACCUUGAAAUACCACCCUUUAAUGUUUGAUGUUCUAACGUUGACCCGUAAUCCGGGUUGCGGACAGUGUCUGGUGGGUAGUUUGACUGGGGCGGUCUCCUCCUAAAGAGUAACGGAGGAGCACGAAGGUUGGCUAAUCCUGGUCGGACAUCAGGAGGUUAGUGCAAUGGCAUAAGCCAGCUUGACUGCGAGCGUGACGGCGCGAGCAGGUGCGAAAGCAGGUCAUAGUGAUCCGGUGGUUCUGAAUGGAAGGGCCAUCGCUCAACGGAUAAAAGGUACUCCGGGGAUAACAGGCUGAUACCGCCCAAGAGUUCAUAUCGACGGCGGUGUUUGGCACCUCGAUGUCGGCUCAUCACAUCCUGGGGCUGAAGUAGGUCCCAAGGGUAUGGCUGUUCGCCAUUUAAAGUGGUACGCGAGCUGGGUUUAGAACGUCGUGAGACAGUUCGGUCCCUAUCUGCCGUGGGCGCUGGAGAACUGAGGGGGGCUGCUCCUAGUACGAGAGGACCGGAGUGGACGCAUCACUGGUGUUCGGGUUGUCAUGCCAAUGGCACUGCCCGGUAGCUAAAUGCGGAAGAGAUAAGUGCUGAAAGCAUCUAAGCACGAAACUUGCCCCGAGAUGAGUUCUCCCUGACUCCUUGAGAGUCCUGAAGGAACGUUGAAGACGACGACGUUGAUAGGCCGGGUGUGUAAGCGCAGCGAUGCGUUGAGCUAACCGGUACUAAUGAACCGUGAGGCUUAACCUU